CCCACUGAGGUUAAAUAGCUGAGUUUCCCUACCAGUCAGUCAGAACUGAAAAAGUCCUUUGGAUGAGGGACGAAACGUCUUCCAGUAUCUUCAACCAAGUCCAGUUGCCCUUGAUUUUAACCUUAUUUGGAUAUCUAUGACAUCGGCCCCUUUUUCAUAUUUUUAUUAAAUGAGUGAAACAGCGCCCUCUGGAUUGUAACGGCUGGUACGUGUUGGCCAGUGUGUGUGAUCAAUAAAGAUAUUGCAGACUUACCUGAGUCUAUCGAUGUGACAGGUGAAGGUGAUUAGGUCAGAUGCUGUAACUGUCAGGUCGCUGCGAAAUAGUGAAUGGACAAGUCGCUGGAUGAGAAACUCUGAUUUGUGAAGCCAGUUACAACUGUGGCUUCAUAACUAAUAGUAGAAAGUAAUAACUUUAUUUAACGUUAUAUGAAAUAACCGGCAGAGUUAGCUUGUUUUCCAGAUGUGCUAAUCAUUUCAGCUGGUGGUGUUGGUGUUGUAAGGCUAGUAGCGUUACGCUAGCAGCAAUGUAGUUUCAGUCAGUCCAACAAAAUGAUCGACAACAAGGGCGGUGGGACAUUAAAUAUGACAUGGACACCGCGAGGAAGGUCCUCGACAUCAAAUAACCUUCCGUCAGUACAGACCUCAGCAGGGGCGGGUGGAAAGAAAUAGUCCCUCGCAGGGAAUGGAUGUUGCAGGGAAUCCUCUUCUGGCCCUUCAACACCUCAGCUUAUAGUGAGGGACAGGAGCAUCCAGGCAGUAUUUGGAAGAGAAAGACUGUGUGGAAAAGGAAAAUAGUGUAAGUGA